rnacentral:rRNA from 1 species
GAUGAACGCUAGCUACAGGCUUAACACAUGCAAGUCGAGGGGCAGCAUUAUCGAAGCUUGCUUUGAUAGAUGGCGACCGGCGCACGGGUGAGUAACGCGUAUCCAACCUUCCCAUCACUCAGGGAUAGCCCGCCGAAAGGCGAAUUAAUACCUGAUGGUCUCCUUCGCGGACAUCUAACGAGGAGUAAAGAUUCAUCGGUAAGGGAUGGGGAUGCGUCUGAUUAGCCAGUUGGCGGGGUAACGGCCCACCAAGGCGACGAUCAGUAGGGGUUCUGAGAGGAAGGUCCCCCACAUUGGUACUGAGACACGGACCAAACUCC